UACGUCACUUUGUGACAUCUGCUGAUGUAAAAAGGGCUUUAGAAAAACAUUUGGUUUGAUUUGACAGAACAUUAUUGAAAAAUAACAUCAUGAAAGAACCAUUUGCCUUACUUGACAAAUAAACCUUGAAACACCCAGAUCUAAAUGAAACAGCCAUACAGGGGUAAUUAGAAACAGCCAUACAACACGCAGAGGUAAUUAGAAACAGCCAUACAGGGGUAAUUAGAAACAGCCAUACAGGGGUAAUUAGAAACAGCCAUACAACACCCAGAGGUAAUUAGAAACAGCCAUACAGGGGUAAUUAGAAACAGCCAUACAGGGGUAAUUAGAAACAGCCAUACAGGGGUAAUUAGAAACAGCCAUACAGGGGUAAUUAGAAACAGCCAUACAGGGGUAAUUAGAAACAGCCAUACAGGGGUAAUUAGAAACAGCCAUACAACACCCAGAGGUAAUUAGAAACAGCCAUACAACACCCAGCGGUAAUUAGAAACAGCCAUACAGGGGUAAUUAGAAACAGCCAUACAGGGGUAAUUAGAAACAGCCAUACAGGGGUAAUUAGAAACAGCCAUACAGGGGUAAUUAGAAACAGCCAUACAGGGGUAAUUAGAAACAGCC